rnacentral:lncRNA from 1 species
UCAGCUUACUUUGAUUAAAGAGCCCAGUGGACUAUCACACAGGGCAUGUUAGUCAGUGUUACCUCCUCCAGUGCAAAGAAUUCCUAGCAUUUUGAUUUGCUCAAAAUUGAGCUGACAUUUUGUACGACAUUUGUUGCUCUAGUGUCAAGCAAUGUAAAUUUAGGGCAGAGAUUCUCAAACUUGUUUUAGCUUGUACUCCCUUUCGAGAAUCAAAACAUGCAGACCUCUAGCCUCUCCUAAUUCUGCCCUGUCCUGACACUGGCAGUCUCCAUCCUAACCUGUCUUUCUCAGUUAUGAAUCUAUGGUCUAGUAAGUCUGGGAACUGAUAUGUAAUAUGUGAAAAGAGAGUGCAAUGGUGUUCAGCUUUCUGAGAGAAACACAGAAAUGAUGGAUCGUGAGAAGUCAAAUGAAAACUGCUCUCCUGCUUUAUGGGGAUAGAACCGUCACUUAACU